rnacentral:rRNA from 1 species
GACGAACGCUGGCGGCGUGCUUAACACAUGCAAGUCGAACGGAAAGGCCCUGCUUUUGUGGGGUGCUCGAGUGGCGAACGGGUGAGUAACACGUGAGUAACCUGCCCUUGACUUUGGGAUAACUUCAGGAAACUGGGGCUAAUACCGGAUAGGAGCUCCUGCUGCAUGGGGGGGGUUGGAAAGUUUCGGCGGUUGGGGAUGGACUCGCGGCUUAUCAGCUUGUUGGUGGGGUAGUGGCUUACCAAGGCUUUGACGGGUAGCCGGCCUGAGAGGGUGACCGGCCACAAUGGGACUGAGAUACGGCCCAGACUCCUACGGGAGGCAGCAGUGGGGAAUAUUGCACAAUGGGCGGAAGCCUGAUGCAGCGACGCCGCGUGCGGGAUGACGGCCUUCGGGUUGUAAACCGCUUUCGCCUGUGACGAAGCGUGAGUGACGGUAAUGGGUAAAGAAGCACCGGCUAACUACGUG